CCUACGGGUGGCAGCAGUAGGGAAUUUUCGUCAAUGGGCGCAAGCCUGAACGAGCGAUGCCGCGUGAGUGAAGAAGGCCUUCGGGUCGUAAAGCUCUGUUGCGGGGGAAAAAAGGCAGCAUCAGGAAAUGGGUGCUGACUGAUGGUGCCCCGCCAGAAAGUCCCGGCUAACUACGUGCCAGCAGCCGCGGUAAUACGUAGGUGGCGAGCGUUAUCCGGAAUGAUUGGGCGUAAAGGGUGCGCAGGCGGUCCUGCAAGUCUGGAGUGAAACGCAUGAGCUCAACUCAUGCAUGGCUUUGGAAACUGGAGGACUGGAGAGCAGGAGAGGGCGGUGGAACUCCAUGUGUAGCGGUAAAAUGCGUAGAUAUCAGGAGGAAUACCGUUAGCGAAGGCGGCAAGCUGGCUGGAAACUGACGCUGAGGUGCGAAAGCGUGGGUAGCAAACAGGAUUAGAUACCCCUGUAGUC
rnacentral:rRNA from 1 species